UCUUAAAAAAUUAAAAACUCUCAAAUAAACAAAAGAAACAUACAAAAGAAUAACCGUUACACAAUUUGCCCUAACCCUCGAUUACAUUUUCCAUCUCUCUCUCUAACAUUUAUAUUCAUCCAUUUUAGUUACAUACGUGAAAACUUGAGAAAUCAACACACAAUUUCAUUUCGUAUUUUCAGCAUCGAAGAUAGGAAGAGUGAGAGAAAAUAAAUUGAACAUCUGGUUUUUCGGCGACACCUGAAAUUUGGAUCUCCCAAAAAAAUAAAAUUUGAAGGGGUUGCAAGAACGAACGAUUGGCCAACAUAGAUUUCCCCUUCAAGGUAUAUGUAUGGGCUAAUUUGUGCCUUCAUGGGAGGUGUAGAGGAUGGCCAACCACCCACAAAGCGGCUGAAAUUAUCUUGUGCAGGAUCAAGCAAUUUUUCUAGUGGCUUAAGAGCUGAAGAACAACCCGCAUCUGCUCGCUCUUUGAGGGAUUUGAUGGCUCGACCUAUACAAUGCCAGGGGGGAGAAGAGGUGAUUGGUUCAAGAGGGGUGAUAAAAAAACUAGAGUUUGUUCGACUUAUAGCUGGUGCCUUGUAUGCUCUUGGUUAUGAACGUAGUGGUGCUUGCCUAGAGGAAGAAUCUGGUAUACCAUUGCAGUCUGCUGCAGUAAAUUUGCUUAUGCAACAUGUUCUGGAUGGGAGGUGGGAUUGCCUCAAUAUUGCAAAGCAUUGGUGUAGAGGAUGAAACUAUAGUAAAAACAACUAAGUUUUUUUAUCUUGGAGCAGAAAUUUUUUGAGCUUUUAGAUGAUGGGAAGACAAUGGACGCUUUAAAGACAUUGAGGACUGAAAUAUCACCUCUGCAUAUAAAAACAAGUAGAGUGCAUGAGAUUUUUUCUUGUUUUCUUUAUCAUCCGCAGAGUCAAAAUGGAUUUGCACGCAGAGACUCUAUGAAAGGAAAAUUGCGUUCAGAAGUUUUUGAUGAACUGCAGAAAUUGCUUCCUCCUACAAUAAUGGUACCUGCUAAAAGGCUGGAAUAUCUAGUGGAACAGGCCUUGAAUUUGCAGUGUGAGGCCUGCAUGUUUCACAACUCUGCAGACUGGGAGAUGUCAUUUAUACUGACCAUCACUGCGGAAGAGACAAUAUCGUACUUUACAGGUUAGUGUAUUUUUUCCAUACCUGUAUAAAGCUUCUUGUAAUUGUGCUCCCCUCGCCUUUCCUUCUCUUUCUCUGUGAUUUUAGGUUUUCUAUUAGCACAGUAUUCAUUGUGGUGUUUUACUUUGCUCUUCUAUUGGAAGGUAAAUUGAGAUUUUUGUUCUCAGAGUGGAUAUAGUUUCACAAUGUUUGCUGUUAUUUUUGGUCUAUCAAUCAAGUCACUUAUAUUUGCAUUGCAA